UCAAUUACUCCUAGUGCCCUCCAUUGCUGAGCGGUGGAACCUUUUUUUUUUUUUUAGAGAACUCUGAGCGGCCAAUCUAUCCAUCGUUGUCCUCUGCGCCAGAUUUGGGUGCCACUCGACUUUUGGGUGGUGGAUCUAUCACGAACAGUAGUAACCUUCUGAUUUGCCUUCCUUGAACCUCUGCCAGCUUCAACUUAAUUAUUUGUUUCUUUCCAAACCAGCCUCCCUAUAGAUCAGUAGCUGCAAUAAAAUUGUAAACAUUAGCCAUGUGAAAAGUAUAUCAGAAAAUUUAUCUUCAUAUGUAGCUUCAUAAUAUUGUAUAAAUUUACAAUAUCCACCAACAUAAAAUUGUAGAAAUUAAUCAAAAUUACUGGUACCAGGAUGGCAUGUAUGUGUAAACAGUGUAAUUUUCAUUUCUAUUAUUUAUACAAGCUCUAGUUGAAUAAUACAGGUUACCUCAUAGCAGGUAGCACCGUGGUAGAGCAGAUUCUUG
rnacentral:lncRNA from 1 species